CAGCAGCCGCGGUAAUACGAAGGGGGCUAGCGUUGUUCGGAAUCACUGGGCGUAAAGGGUGCGUAGGCGGGAUCUUAAGUCAGGGGUGAAAUCCCGAGGCUCAACCUCGGAACUGCCUUUGAUACUGGGGUCCUUGAGUCCGGAAGAGGUGAGUGGAACUGCGAGUGUAGAGGUGAAAUUCGUAGAUAUUCGCAAGAACACCGGUGGCGAAGGCGGCUCACUGGUCCGGAACUGACGCUGAGGCACGACAGCGUGGGGAGCGAACAGGAUUAGAUACCCCCGUAGUCCCUGUCUCUUAUAC
rnacentral:rRNA from 1 species